UGUCAGUGACUGCAACCAAGCCAGAGGGAGCAACUGUUUAUAUUACGAUGACCAGAUAUAGAAGACACAACUGUUCUUUGUUUUGGCAAACACUGGGACAUCUUUGUUUCACUCCAGUGCACUCAGUGUCCAGGAGGCUCAAGCAGAGAUUCAGAGGGACACUUUCUGCAUUGGGGAUUAUCCAGAUCAUGAUUGGAUUGUUCAACUUCGGUAUUGGAACAAUCACAAUGUUGUCACAUCCCUACUAUGAUACUCCUAAUAUGAAUGGACCUUACUUCUGGCUUGGAGCAUUGUUCAUAUUGAUGGGCAUCGUGUACACUCAUGCAGAGAAGUCCCCAAGCCCACGCCGGGUUGUUAUUUCUGGGACUAUGAGCAUGAUGAGUGCACUGUUUGCUGUAAUACCCAUUGUGAUGUAUCCAGUGGACUUUGGGUGGAUUGUGAAAUGCUACAGAGUUGACAAAAUUAUUAACCUUAGAUAUUAUGAGGAUGCUUUUGCAAUGCAACCAAGAGACAAAAUGGAAAGAAUUGCCAUCUGGAUAGAGGAAUGUUUUGCCCUUUGCAAAGGCUACAACACAACUCUACAGGUGUUGUUGAUAGGAAUGGAAAUCAUAAUGGCAAUCUUUGCAAUCCUACAACUGCUUUUUGCCAUCAGUGCCUGUGCCUUGGCCUUACCGGAUGCUUGCAAAGAGGAGACGACUGAACAGGUCUGGGAAUUAUGAACGUAUCUUGUUUUCAAGGGCCAUUAACAGACGUUGAAGCAACAGGUUCCACCAGUUGAUGAAGGAGACGGUGGAAAAGGAAGUGAAGUGUAGGCCCAUUGGGGAAACUCCAACUCCCAGUGUCAUUGUGACACAGCACUCCACAGCACACAAGUGAACACUGCACAAUGCACACAACGAAACUGCAUUUAUGCCUCACCCAUGCAAGGGGGCAGCCCUCAAUGGCGCCCCAAGGGAGCAGUGCGGUGGAACGGUACCAUGCUCAGGGUACCUCAGUCAUGGAGGAGGAUGGGUAGGAUUGAUCCCCCCACCAACUUGGCGGGUGGGGAGUCGAACCGGCAAACUUUGGGCUACAAGUCUGACGCCAUAACCGCCCAUGACUGCCCUUAAGUGUGCACCAAGGACAGGGAACCGGGAUGAAGGAGCCUACCAGCUUUCCCACACCAGGGACACUAUUUUGCAGAGCCGCCCCCAGAUAGCAAUCACACCAUUAUCAUUCAGCACAAGGCGCCC